CCUUCGAUAGCUCAGUUGGUAGAGCGGUGGACUGUAGUUGGCAAAUAACUGAUAUCCAUAGGUCGCUGGUUCAAAUUCUCGAAGGA
rnacentral:tRNA from 1 species